GUCUACAGCCAUGCUACCCUGAACAAGCCCGAUCCUGUCUGAUCUCAGAAGCUAAGCAGGGUCAGGCCUGGUUAGUACUUGGAUGGGAGACCACACCUAGGAAGACCAGGAGCUAGCAG
rnacentral:rRNA from 1 species